rnacentral:rRNA from 1 species
UACGAAGGGGGCUAGCGUUGCUCGGAAUUACUGGGCGUAAAGGGCGCGUAGGCGGAUAGUUCAGUUGGGGGUGAAAGCCCGGGGCUCAACCUCGGAACUGCCUUCAAUACUGGCUAUCUUGAGUACGGGAGAGGUGUGUGGAACUCCGAGUGUAGAGGUGAAAUUCGUAGAUAUUCGGAAGAACACCAGUGGCGAAGGCGACACACUGGCCCGUUACUGACGCUGAGGCGCGAAAGCGUGGGGAGCAAACAGGG